UUUUUUUUUUUUUAGCGGCAUAUGGAGGUUCCAAGGCCAAGGGUUGAAUCGGAGCUGCAGCUGCCGGCCUACACCACAGCCACAGCCACACCAGAUCCGAGCCGAGUCUGCAAUCUACAUACAUGACAGCUCACAGCAACACUGGAUCCUUAACCCACUGAGCGAGGCCAGGGAUCGAACCUUCGACUUCAUGGAUGCUAGUCAGAUUCACUUCUGCUGAGCCAAAAUGGGAACUCCCUUUUUUUUUUUUUUCAUGUGGCUCCUUCUCCACCUCUGCCCGCCCAAGUCUGACCAGCCUCUUCAGGGUCCGGCUCAAUACCAGCUCCUCUGUGUGCCACCCAGAAUCCUCACGCUCCUUUCAGUUUCCAGGGUGCUUUGCCUCCACCCCUGCCACGUGGCCCACUGUUGUCCAAGCAAGCUGGGGUUUUGGUGUGUGAGCUUCUCAAAGCUGCAGAGCCCGCACAGUACCCCACACUCAGUAGGUGCUCAGUAAACUUCCUCUUCAGCCAAUGUCCCGCCUCGUCGCACCGAUAACUGACAGUAAUGACUCUCAUUUAUUGAGCAUGUACUAUAAGCUCUGGCUCCUGGACUGUCCCGCCCUCACAUGAUGGACCUGGGUCAUAGAAGGUGUCACCCAGAGCUGAAGUCACAGCUCUGGAACUGUGGUCCUUGCUCCUAAACAGAUCUCUCCUUCCUGCUCACCUCUUCUAGGUCAGAACACCAUCAUGCCCCCACCCUGUCCUGUCACUAAAGACUUUUCAUGAUUCCUUGUGGCUCAUGAGACAAAAUCCAGCCCUCUGAACAUGGCAUCCACACUUUGUAACAUCUGGCUUUCUGCUCUCUUUGCAGCUUCUCCUCUAGUCUCUGAACAUCACCUCAGUUCCCGGCAUACCAUACUGUGAUUCACUUCUAGGCUUUGCACGGGCUGUUCCCUUGGCCGAGAACACCCUUCCCAUAUUUUUCCUCCUGUGACUGUCUACACAUCUCUCAACAUCCAAGAUCAAGGGUUACCUUACAAUCUAGUCAGACAAGAUCAGCCACAAAGAAACCGGUCACAAAAUGGAGAGCUCUAUGAGGGAAGGACCUGUGUCACUGAUGUAGCCCCAAUGCUUAACCCAUCAUCAGUGCUCAAUCAACAUUUGUUGAAUGACUAAAUGAACACUCCGUACUUUACUGCUGACUAGACAGAGACAUGACAAAAGAAUACAGGGCCGCAGUGUGCAGGGCUGGAGGUGAAAGGGAAGAGACUGAGGCCAGGAAGGCCAAGGACCUGAUGAGAACAGUGACAAGUACUUUGGGGCUGUGCUGCAGCACAGCCACACUCUUGGCAGAGGGAGUGUUUGUGAGAGACAGAGGAAGGAAAGUGAUGGUGUGAGGGAGGCUCUGAGAGUGUGUGUGUGCGCGCGCGCGCACGCAUGUGAGAAAGCGGGGAGGAUGUGCGUGGGGGAGGGUAUGUGUGCGCGGCAUCUGUGAACUCGGCGGUGAGAGCACUGGCGAGGAAGCGUGGAAGGAGCGCACGGCUGUGGCUCGUGGGGCCUGUGUGAGAAGGCGAGGGCGCGUGCCACGCAGGCUGCGGGGGUGCAGAGCGAGCAAGGCUGUGUGUGUCUGUGCUCGAGGUCGUGCGUGUCUCUGGUGGGGAGUGACUGAGAACAACAACCAGAAGGGGACACCUGGGGGGUGGGUCUGAGGGAGAAACUCUUAAGUGUGUGGGCAUGGGGGGGGUCAUGAGCAUGUGCAGGAGGAGAUGGUGUGCCCGUGAGUGUGUCCCACACGGAGAGCCAGGGAAGAGAUGUCUGGGCUCUGCUGGGGGUGUGGCUGCCAUGGCCUCGGCCGCGGACCCGGUGCCAGAGGUGGGGGCUGGCCCCAGGCCCAGGGUGGGGGGCGCUGACUGAGCAGAAGAUUCCUCCAAGUUCUCCCUGGAGCCACAGGCGCCAGAUUACCAUGUCCCCAGGCAGGGAGGUCGAGAAGGAGGCCCAGAUGUGUGUGCCUUACAUCUGUCCACAGCAAAACCUCUGGGCAUUUAUUUGUCUUUGUCUGUGUCCGGGUGUGCACGCCUGUGCUUGUGUGCGCGCUGCCGGCUGUGUGUCUGUGCCUGUCUUUGUCUCUGUAUGUAUCUGGGCCUUUGUCUCAGUGUGUGUGGCUGUUGGUCUAGGCCUGCCCACAUGACUGUGUCUGGGGUGGUGUGUGUCUAGGUGUAUCUGUGGGGAGGGGGUGCUCUGCAUCCUUGAUCUGCGCAUGUCUAGGUAGGGCCACGGGCAUCCCCCUGGAUGGCCCAUUUGUAUCUCUGGGUCUGUGUGGCCUUAGUGGGAGUGAGAGAAUGUUGUGCGUUUGAGGCUGUGGGUCUAGAUCUUGGUGUAUCUAAGUGUGAAUGUGCGCUUGUGUACCUGUAUGGGAUGCUGUAGUAAGGAAAUGCUUAUGUGUGCCUGUGGGGUUUGCAUUUGUGAGACCAAGGAUAUAUGUGUGUCUCUGUGCCUGUGUGUGUGUGUGCAUGUGUGUUGGGUGUGAGAGUGUAGGGGUUUGUCACAGACUGGUGAGCAAGUUAAUCUCAGACUCCGUGACACGUGGAAUAAAAUCACGCUCCCAUAAUGGGAUCAUUCGUCUUCCUGUCCAAGGAGAGAACCAACUCUUCACCCUCCGCCCUGGGGGAGCCAGUGGGGCCAGGGCCAGGCCUAGGCCCCCAUCCAGGCCCCCUUCUGGCCUCAGCACCCACCCCCACCUCUCCUCUGCCACACCAGGCCCAUUCUGCCUCCAGAGUGCCCUGGUGCCCACUGCGGGCUGGGCUAAGCUCCAGGACAUGUGACCGAGGCUUAGAGGCCUGUCCUGGGCCCCCCAGCCCCACCCACUGCUGAGGAGGGCCCUGCCCCAGAUGCGAGGGGGGUGCAGGAAGGAAUCUUUGGGCCCCUCCUCCUCCCGGAGGGGAGGGAUGAGCUGCAGGCCCGGCCGGGAUUUUCCAUCUCUCAGCAACAAGAUUCCUGGUGAGCAGGCUGCGGGGCUUGGCAGGGCGCCUGCCGGAGACCCGCCCUCACCCGCCAGGAUGCCUGGGUCUCCAGGGCCAGGCAGCAGCGGGUUCCCUGGGGAGCUAGGAGGGUCCCAGAACUCAGGCUCCAGCUGCCUGGGACUAUAGAAAAGCCAGACCCUUCCAGGCUCCUACCCCCCAACCAAAGAUGGCUCCUUGGCCCCCCAGGGCAAACCGCCACCUUCCUUCUGGCCUCUCCCCAGCCUCAGCCUUUGCUUCCAAAAGCCAUCGCAGACAGCCGCCCAGCUCCACCCGCUCCCUGCCUGAACCUCAGCACAUGCCCAGCCUGGGUUCAAGAUCUCACCUCUGGGUCUGAGGGCUCCCAAGGCCAGAGCUGUGCCUCUUAUCUCAGAAUGGGGCUUCUGAGGACAGCACCACGUGUCCCACAGCUGUGAAAUCCCUCUUGGUCUCAGCACUCCUUCCUGCCUGAGCAGUCAGGCACCAGGAGAGAAUUUCAAAGCUAAGGCCAGGGAAACUGAGGCAGUGAAGCUCUCUGCCCUACCUACCAUUAUGAAUCAGAGGCCAAAUCCAAACGUCUGGACACACAAGUUCUUAAUUCUGCCCGACAGAGUGGCUGCAACUUGUACUUCCUUCCCCAUAGGGGGUGCAAUUCCAGGAGCAGGAGCAUCAGUGGGUGGGAGAGGGGAAUGGGUAAGUGGACUCCCUCAAACCCCAGCCUUGGAUGUGCAGCUGGAGAGCAGGUUUGGUAAGAGAUUAAGGUCAAGGAGAAGAGAACUGAGAUGCUCCAAGAUUUAUGAGCUUAAUUCUUCUCCCUUAAAUUCCCCUCCAAGCCCCCCCAGCCCUAGCCUGGUCCCUCCAGGGUCAGGCUGUGGCCCUGGGCCAAUGUCAAGGCCCUAAUCCAUCCAUCAGCUGUUGCCAGGGAAAGUUUCUACCCCAACAGAUCUCCAAAGGAGGGGGGUCAACAGACACUAGGGGCCUAGAUUGAUGGGGAAGGGGCAAGGCCCUACGGAGGCAUUCAACAGCCUCCCCGGCCCCCGCCCCCGCCCCCUCCCAGGAGGUAGGGGCUGGCAACCACCAGGAAAGAAGCCAGGCUGGUGGGUGGAGCCCAAGAAGAGGUGACCUCCCAGCCCUGGCACCACACCUAGCCCCACCCUUCCAACAGGCCAGGAGACCUGGGAUCCCACGGGGCCUUACAGCGCCCAGGGCAUGUGACCUUGGGCAGUGGCUGCUCCUCUCCAGGCCUCAGCCUCCCCACCUCACAAUGGAGGCAGUGGUUCAGACAUCCCAGAUACCCCCCCCUUUCAGCUAUGCGCCCUCAGCGCUAAGCCCUGUCCUCUCUCCAGUGCAAAGGUGUCACCUAAAGUCUGGACCAGAUGGAGUGAGGCCUCGGCAGUUACCUGGAGGAGUCCCUGAAGCCACCCAAGUCAGAGCUGAAGAGCCUAUGGUGAUUACCCCUCUACCACGCAUCCAUUUUCCCGAAGAGUGAAACUGAGACCCUGAGAGGGCUGGGUCUGCACCAAGGCCUGAGUUUUACUGGUAGGUGGUGAAGAGCACAGGCUCUGGAGACAGUAAGACCUGGAUUAAAAUACCACUUGCAGCGGAAACUUACUAUGUGAAUUCCCUUGUCUUCUCGGCCUCAGAUUUCUCAUCUGUAAAAUGGGCAACAGUGCCUCCCUCCUACACUGUUGAAUCGAAAUGAAAAAAUGCAUGUAAAGGGCUGGGCCAGUGCAGCCAGCACUCUGGCAAUGGUAGCCAGCCUGACCGUGGGCAGUAUUAACACAAAGCCAAGUGACCGGGGUGGGGGAAGGGGAGGAAGGGUCCCGACCUGGCUCAUCCUCCAGCCCAGGAGGGCCAGCCAAAUUCCUGGAAGCCCCCCAGCUGUCUCCCCGAUUCGUUAAAGGCCUCUCAUUAGUGAGCCCGGGCACCUGCCCCUCCACACGUAACAAGCCUCAUUAGUAUCUUAGCCCCAAGCUCUGGGCCCAGAGUCUGUGCAUGUGCACAUGCAUGAGGGUGGGGGGCUGCAACAGGCCACCAGCCAGGAGACAGCAUCCUCGCCAACCACACCCCCUGCCUGUCAUCAGCAGGGCCCGUCACCACCCAGCUUGUCACCUGCCUGCCUCGCACCCGCACCACCUGUCACCCACCCAGCUCGUCACCCACCCAGCCCAUCACCUGCACCACCUGUCACCCACCCAGCCUGUCACCGGAGCUGUGUGACAGGCAUCUGGGUGGGGGACAGGCGAUGGGGAGGAGAAGACCACAGGGGUGUGGAGCUGGGGGCCCCAGAGACCCUGAUGACCAGGUGCCAAGAGCCCCCAAAGAGGCCCCAAACCCCCAAAGCCCAGGCCAGGGUGCCCAGAGCACAGGGUCUUGGGUGGGGCAGCUUUGAACCAGAUGUACAGCCUCACUGUCCAGGAAUGAAAGGCCUGGGGCAAAGUGGGGGGAGACGCCUCCCCAGGCAGAGGAGGCGCUGGGAAGUGGGGGAGGACCGGGCAGCAGAGAGAGCAAGCACACAAGAGCCAGCCAGUGUUGUGUGCGAGGCCGAGGGUGUUGGGGGAGAAGAAGGUGGGGUGGGGGAGCGCUGUGGGGGGCGGGUGUGCUGGAAUGUGUGACAGUGGGAGGGAGGGCUGCAGAGAGGGUGGGGGUGCGGGGCAGAGCUGCUCUGCGGGGUGAAUGGGCGCAGGAUUGUGAUGGAGCUGGGGCUGUGUGUGUCCUUGUCUGAGUGUGGGACCCAUGUUUAGAGAGGUGUGGGGGCAGCCCCUGGGCCCAGAGAUGGCUGAGGGCAGUCCUGGAGUCCUCAGCCAUUGUGGGGAAUGCACAGAGGGCUGCCUGUUUAAGGAGGUGUUGGGAUCUGGNGGGGGGGGGGAGUGUGUGUGUGUGUGUGUGUGUGUGUGCACACGCUUGCACACAUGUGCAUGCCUAGGAAGGUAUGAAAAGCUGGGGGGACAUUGUUCAGAGAUAAACUAGAACUGAAGCUACAUCUGUGUGUUUGAGGUGAUGGUGUGGCUACAGGGGGUGUUCUCAUGGGAGCGGGUGUUGAAGCUGUGUGUGUGGGGGGGAGUUGUGAGUUUGACAAGGUGUAGGGGGCUGUAUCACUGUUCGGGAGGUGUGGGGCUGCAGCUGGGGGAAAUUCUGGGGCUGCAGGGAGCCUGGAUGUGUCUGGUUAGGUGUUGGGGCUCCUGGAGUCUGAGUGCGCAGGAGGUAUUACGGGCUGUAGCAGGGUCCCGGGUGUAUGUGGGGAAGUGUUGGGGUCAGAGAAGGAGCUAGUAUAUUUGAGGAUGUGGCAGAGGCCAUGUGUGUGUGUGUUGGGAGGGGGUAUGUUGGGGGUCCAAGCAAUCUGGGUUUUGGUUAAGUACCAGGACUGUAAACGUGUCAGGGUGUGCGGCCUGUGGUGGCUGUGUGUUUGGAGGCGUGUUGGGGCUGCGUGUACCUGAGCCGGUGGGUGCUAGCAAGGUGUUCGAGGGCAGAGUGGUCGUGUGUCUGUGGAGACGGUGGGGCUCUGCUUAGAGGGGGUGCUGGAGCCACGAGUGGGGAAGCAGUCGUGAGGGGCUGCAGCUGGGUCCCUGUGCGCAGACAGGUGAUGGAGCUGCAGGGUGGGGUGGGUGCCCCUCUGAGGAGGAGAAGGGCAGAGUGCUGGCCUUUGCUCAGGGCCCUGCCUGAGGGCUGCCCGCUAGAACCCCCCUGCUGGCGGGGGGCCUGCCC
ensembl:lncRNA